rnacentral:rRNA from 1 species
CUCAGAUUAAACGCUGGCGGCAUGCCUUACACAUGCAAGUCGAACGGUAGCGCGGGGCAACCUGGCGACGAGUGGCGAACGGGUGAGUAAAGCAUCGGAACGUGCCCUGGAAUGGGGGAUAACGUAGCGAAAGUUACGCUAAUACCGCAUAUUCUGUGAGCAGGAAAGCAGGGAAUCGCAAGACCUUGCGUUCUGGGAGCGGCCGAUGUCGGAUUAGCUAGUUGGUGGGGUAAAAGCCUACCAAGGCGACGAUCCGUAGCGGGUCUGAGAGGAUGAUCCGCCACACUGGGACUGAGACACGGUCCAGACUCCUACGGGAGGCAGCAGUGGGGAAUUUUUGGACAAUGGGCGCAAGCCUGAUCCAGCCAUGCCGCGUGAGUGAAGAAGGCCUUCGGGUUGUAAAGCUCUUUCGGUGGGGAAGAAAUUGCUUGGGUUAAUACCCUGAGUAGAUGACGGUACCCGCAUAAGAAGCACCGGCUAACUACGUG